GUGCAGCAGGCGCGAAACCUCCGCAAUGCGGGAAACCGCGACGGGGGACCCGAGUGCCGUGGCAACGCCACGGCUUUCCGGAGUGUAAAAGCUCCGGGAAUAAGGGCUGGGCAAGGCCGGUGGCAGCCGCCGCGGUAAUACCGGCGGCCCGAGUGGUGGCCGCUAUUAUUGGGCCUAAAAGCGUCCGUAGCCGGGCCCGUAAGUCCCUGGCGAAAUCCCACGGCUCAACCGUGGGGCUUGCUGGGGAUACUGCGGGUCUUGGGACCGGGAGAGGCGGGGGGUACCCCUGGGGUAGGGGUGAAAUCCUAUAAUCCCAGGGGGACCGCCAGUGGCGAAGGCGCCCCGCUGGAACGGGUCCGACGGUGAGGGACGAAGGCCAGGGGAGC
rnacentral:rRNA from 1 species